rnacentral:misc_RNA from 1 species
GGAUGAAGAACGUAGCGAAAUGCGAUACGUAAUGUGAAUUGCAGAAUUCAGUGAAUCAUCGAAUCUUUGAACGCAUAUUGCGCUCUCUGGUAUUCCGGAGAGCAUGCUUGUUUGAGUAUCAGUAAACACCUCAACUUCCAUAUCUUUUUUGAAAUGGGAGUUGGACUUGAGUGAUCCCAACGCUUUUCCUCACCGAAAAGUGGCGGGUUACUUGAAAUGCAGGUGCAGCUGGACUUUUCUCUGAGCUAUAAGCAUAUCUAUUUAGUCUGCCUAAAAAACAGAUUAUUACCUUUGCUGCAGCUAACAUAAAGGAGAUUAGUUCUUGUGCUGACUGAUGCAGGAUUCACAAAGACAGGCUUCGGCCGACUUUGUAAACUCGAUCUCAAAUCAAGUAAGACUACCCGCUGAACUUAAGCAUAUCAAUAAGCGGAGGA